CUUGAAAAUCGAACCAAUAAUUCUGAUAAAAAAAAAAGUUAUUGACAGACAUACCAAAUUAGCGCACAUAGGAAAACCAAUGCCGACGUUUUUCGCUGCGCUCAGAAUCAAACACCGAAGCGCGUCUUCGUUCGUAUACUGUUGUUUUUAUGAACUUUCAAAAGAACACGACGGGAAUCGCGGAAAAUAAAUUCGGUCGGGACUACCGCCGGACGGAGGUUUCGCAUUUUUCACGAUAGACACCGCCGGAAAAAAUCGGAACACGUUGCAAUACUGUUCGACAAUAGCUCUUUUUUUCGCUUUUUCGCCACACGAUUCAUCCAAAAUGUCUGCAGCCCGAUCGCGAUCCCGACGUAGUUGUAGGCACGCCACACGUUAUUAUUGCGUAGACCGGUGCCCCGGCCGUGCUAAUAAUUCGUAUGUCCGGCGCGCAAUUAUAACGCGCGGUAACCGCGGUAACCGCGGGUAAUAGUAGCGCGUGGCGUACCCGUGCCCCUAUCCCAUACAAAGUCGGUCACGAACCGUACGGCGACUGCAAUAAUAUUACGGCCGAAGCAUCGCGUUUAACGGCCACGAUACGACCAAUAAUAUCGGACGGUCGCAGUGCGC